rnacentral:lncRNA from 1 species
UAAAAAAAGGGAUAAAACGUAGGUGCAUUUCCAAUGAUAUUUUUGGUACUUUUUUUCAAUCAUAAGUUGAUAUCUAACCAAAACUUAACGUCACAUUCAGAUUCUCUACCAAAACAUGAAUUUGUCGUACAUUUAUUUUUCCAAAAAUGGGAGAUUAACUCCGCAUGUUAUAUCAUGAAUGAAAAAUAGUUCUAACUGUAUAUAAGCAAUUGUAUGUAAGUUUAGUCCUUUAAAAAGAUGCUAAUCUAAAAGAUCGAAUCUCAUUCUCC